rnacentral:rRNA from 1 species
ACAGAGGGUGCGAGCGUUGUUCGGAAUUACUGGGCGUAAAGCGCGCGCAGGCGGCUCUUUAAGUCUGGCGGUGAAAGACCGGGGCUCAACCCCGCGUCAGCCCUGGAUACUGGAGAGCUGGAGACACGUAGAGGCAAGCGGAAUUCCGGGUGUAGCGGUGGGAUGCGUAGAGAUCCGGAAGAACACCGGAGGCGAAGGCGGCCCGCUGGGGUGAGGCUGACGCUGAGGCGCGACAGCGUGGGGAGCAAACAGGA